GACGGAGGGUGCUAGCGUCGUUCGGAAUGACUGGGCGUGAAGGGCGCGUAGGCGGCCGCUUGCGUCGGAUGUGAAAGCCCGGGGCUCAACCCCGGAACGGCAUCCGAUACGGGGCGGCUCGAGACCGAGAGAGGUGAGUGGAAUACCCAGUGUAGAGGUGAAAUUCGUAGAUAUUGGGUGGAACACCGGUGGCGAAAGCGGCUCACUGGCUCGGUUCUGACGCUGAGGCGCGAAAGCGUGGGGAGCAAACAGG
rnacentral:rRNA from 1 species